rnacentral:misc_RNA from 1 species
GUCGAAUAUUAGGUCCCCUCUUUUAUAAAAGAUCUUCACUUAAGUAUCGAGACAGGAAAGAUAAGCGUGACCGUGCCAGUUCCUUGGAGGCCGAAUAUAGAGCUACCUCUGACUAUCUCAAAGAGUUGGCCACUGAAAUAUGGAAGCUCCCGGUUCAGAAAUUGUAGCAACUCCCGCACCCAUUAAAUUAGGAAUGAGUGCACCGACGGACCAUGAUAAAAACAAAUA